rnacentral:misc_RNA from 1 species
UCACCCCUCAAGCUUGGCUUGCCGUUGGACCUUUGGUUUGGUCUCCCCAAACCGGCCCCAAAGAUAAUGACAGUGUCUGUAGGACCCUCGGUACAAGGAGCUUUUCACGAGGCAUGUACUGAAGUUGGACCUGCAAACCUGGUCUUUUAUUGGUGCUUAGGCACCAUUUCUAA